rnacentral:tRNA from 8 species
GCCCGUUUAGCAUAGUCGUUAUUGCGCGGCACUUGUAAUGCCGAGGUCGCUAGUUCAAAUCUGGCAACGGGCA